UUCAGGCAGAUUGUUUGUGUUGUAUUCUUGCCAUUUGUUUUCCGCAUGUUGCUAGUUUGUAGCCAUAGACUCACCUCGAUAAUAUCUUCUGAACAGCUAUGUUGGUAUCAAACAAGUAGUAUUUGGUGAAUCUGAAUUUGAGAACUGGAAGGAGAACUUGACAUCGGAGGAUGCCGGUUACAGUGUUCACAAGAUAUAGAUGUCAGUUGACUCUGAAAGCUCCUUAUGAGAAGAUGAAACAAAGAUAUUGAAGGUAAAGAAAGGUUGUAAGCACAAAAACAACUACAGAGAGCAGGCUUUUACCACUCAGGCUUUCAAGCUGCUAAUACUGGUGCUAUUCGAGGAUUUUC
rnacentral:lncRNA from 1 species